rnacentral:rRNA from 1 species
AUUGAACGCUGGCGGCAUGCCUUACACAUGCAAGUCGAACGGCAGCACGGGAGCAAUCCUGGUGGCGAGUGGCGAACGGGUGAGUAAUAUAUCGGAACGUGCCCAGUCGUGGGGAUAACGUAGCGAAAGCUACGCUAAUACCGCAUACGAUCUACGGAUGAAAGCGGGGGAUCGCAAGACCUCGCGCGAUUGGAGCGGCCGAUAUCAGAUUAGGUAGUUGGUGAGGUAAAGGCUCACCAAGCCGACGAUCUGUAGCUGGUCUGAGAGGACGACCAGCCACACUGGGACUGAGACACGGCCCAGACUCCUACGGGAGGCAGCAGUGAGGAAUAUUGGACAAUGGGCGGCAAGCCUGAUCCAGCCAUGCCGCGUGCAGGAUGACGGUCCUAUGGAUUGUAAACUGCUUUGUACAGGAAGAAACACUGGUUCGUGAACCAGCUUGACGGUACUGUAAGAAUAAGAU